AGCUCCAAUAGCGUAUAUUAAAGUUGUUGCGGUUAAAAAGCUCGUAGUUGGAUUUCUGUUGAGGGCAGCCGGUCCGCAUUUCGUGCGUGUAUCUGGUUUGACCUCGGCAUCUUCUCAAAAAACGUUUCUGCGCUUGAUUGCGUGGAGCGGAGUUUGAGACUUUUACUUUGAGGAAAUUAGAGUGUUCACGGCAGGCGAUCGCCUUGAAUAUAUUAGCAUGGAAUAAUAAUAUAGGAUCUUGGUUCUAUUUUGUUGGUUUCUAGGGCUAGGAUAAUGAUUAAUAGGGACAAUUGGGGGCAUUCGUAUUAACGCGUCAGAGGUGGAAUUCUUGGAUUGCGUUACGACGAACUACUGCGAAAGCAUUUGCCAAGGAUGUUUUCA
rnacentral:rRNA from 1 species